UAAUAUGUGAUCAAUAUGCCUAGAUUUUUCAGGGGACCUGGUCCUUUUGGGCCCUCUUGGCUACGCCUCUGUAAAACCCGGGGUUCGAUUCUCCGCGGUGGACACAGCAGAUAGCCCAAUGUGACUUUGCUCUACAACAAACAAAGAAAAUUUUUCAUUAAGAAGAGCGUCUAAAUUGUUAAUUUCAAAACAGUUCUUAUAUUUCAGCGACACCUGGUAGUUAAAGUUAUUGCUUACGAAGUCACUUAAUAACAAGUUGAAUGAAAUGGAGUGCAAUGGUAUUAAUAUUACUAACUACAGUUAAUUAAAAGAACCUUGUGUUAAAUGGUAUCCAAGAAGGUGUUAUCCGUGAUGGCUGAUAAAUUGUUAUACUUGGUAUUUAACAGAUACUGAACCAGGUGAAAUGGAAAAACUUGUGUAAAAGAAUGAAGGAUUUUGGACAAUUUUUCACGCCUCGUCUUGUUUAACAAAUUGUGUAAGGUGAUAUUUGUUCAUACCUGAAUAAUGUGUUAAUUGUAUUUUUUACAUCAGAACAAAAAUAUGAAAGAUUUGGUUCUGAUGGAACCCAAAGAUCCUGCAUUUUUGUCGAAUCAAGAACUUCGAAUUCAACUGGAGAAAUAUGGAGAAACUGUUGGACCUGUUACAAACUCAACAAGAAGAGUUUUUGAGGGUUUGUUGAACAGGAUUAGGAAUAGAGAACGUUUAAGUUGUUCUAAUGCAUGCCAGAAUCCUCUUGAUGAACAGCAUUCUCAUUUAACCAUUGAGUGCUCUACUGAAGGGACCAACUCUUCCAGGAAGAGUGAUGGCUCCCAAGAUUGCUAUAAACAAAAUGGUCCUCUCAAAACUUUUUCUGUAAAUGCAUGUGAAAAGUUGAGCUCAUCAGAGGAAACUUCAGGAGAGGAUUCAAGCUCACCAUCAUCUUUUUAUGGAGUUAGUUUACCUCCUGGGACAUCAUGCAGUGAUG